CAAAAAUUUUAAAAAUAUUUUUUAAAAAAAAUAUUUUUUUUUUUCAUCUAUAAAUACUACUACAAACACCCAAAUUUAUCACAGCAAACAACUCUUCAUUCAUUUUCUUCUACAAACACUAAUUCUUCCUACUUUUAAACUUUCAAUAUAAAUUUUUUUUUUUUUUUUCUCUCAACUCUUAAGUUUACUUUGCAAAUAUUUUUAAUUUUUUCCAACAAAUUUUUUUUACAUAGUCUCUCCACAAUCUCACCACACAAAAUUUAAAUUUGAACACAAUCAUUAAUCUCUUAUUUUUUAGUUUUUUUAAUUUUUUAAAUAUUUUUAUUUAAUUAUUUUAGUAUUAUUGUGUUUAUUUUUUAUAACAAUAUCGGAUAAAUUUUCUCAUAUAGAUUUUUUUUUGCAUUGAUUAUACUCCUAAGUGUUAUGUUAGUAAUCAAUUAGAAACUUGAGCUGGUGGUUCUACACAAGGUGACGACGGCUUGCAACCUAAACUAAAUUUAGACGCAUGUUCUAAAAAAGUGUCUAAACGAAGAAAAGCGGAGUAUGAAAGUACUUCAAUAUCAAACAAAUUAAAGGACAAGGUGUAAUAUACCGAACUCCUACAAUUAUGUAGUUUUUGUAGGAACUAGCUCGAAAAGCUAUUAAAAUAAUUCCAGUGAAGUUUGAAAAGUAUUUGAGUGCUUUCGGUGCAAAUCGGGCGCGAAAACGGACUCCGAAAUAUUAAAGCUGUCAAAACUGUAGAUUUGGGCAGUAGGCCUACGUAGGAUUGAUGGUCUGUGGACCAUCCGUGAUAAAUAGAGAUAAGUGGUUUAGCUGAUGGCUCUGGUAUUGUAACAAUGUGAAUUCUCGGAAUUCGAGAGUUGCACUUCUUCCAAAAUCGACUAAGGGUCGAGUUAGUAAGU
rnacentral:lncRNA from 1 species